rnacentral:rRNA from 1 species
AACGAACGUUGGCGGCAUGCCUAACACAUGCAAGUCGAACGAACUAAUUUAUUAGUGAGUGGCGAACGGGUGAGUAACGCAUGGGAAUCUACUUUACACUGGGGGAUAACAGUUAGAAAUGACUGCUAAUACCGCAUACGCCAUAUUGGGAAAGCUCCGGCGGUGUAAAAUGAGCCCAUGUCCAAUUAGCUUGUUGGUGGGGUAAAGGCCUACCAAGGCGACGAUUGGUAGCGGGUUUGAGAGGAUGAUCCGCCACACUGGAACUGAGACACGGUCCAG